rnacentral:siRNA from 1 species
UGAUCAAUGGGUUUUGUAUGC